AUUAAGAGUAUAUGGCGGAUGCCUUGACAUAAGAGAACGAUGAAGGACGUAGCAGCCUGCGAUAAGCUUCGGUGAGGUGGCAAGCAACCCUUGACCCGAAGAUUUCCGAAUGGGGAAACCUCCCCGGUUGUAGACCGGGGGUCCGCUGGCUGAACACAUAAGCCAGUGAGACGAUUACCCGGUGAAUUGAAACAUCUUAGUAGCCGGAGGAAAAGAAAAAAAGCCUGAGCAAUCAGGAAUAUUCCGUGAGUAGUGGCGAGCGAAAACGGAGGAGUCUAAACCGAUUUAACAUCCCUAGUUGAAGCGAGCUGGAAAGCUCCGCCAGAGAAGGUGAAAGCCCUGUAACAGCAAAAGGGGUUAUUGCUCUGCGGCAUAUCUCUUAAGUACUGCGGGACUCGUGAAAUCCCGUGGGAAGCCGGGUCGACUAUGACCCAAGACUAAAUAUCUCUUAUGAUCGAUAGUGAACAAGUACCGUGAGGGAAAGGUGAAAAGCAGCCCGGUGAGGGCGGUGAAAUAGUACCUGAAACCAUAUACUUACAAGGAGUUGGAGCCCCGGUUCGCCGGGGUGACAGCGUGCCUAUUGAAGAAUGAGCCAACGAGUUUGUUCUAUGUGGCUUGACUAAGUUCCGUUUGGAAUGGAGUCGAAGUGAAAGCGAGGGUUAAUAGCCCGUAUCCACUUAUUUUGCAGAUACCAGGCCUUCUGGUGGCUGCAAAAUAACGUGGAAUGUCGCAUGGACAAGACCCGAAGCCGGGUGAUCUAGCCAUGGCCAGGUUGAAGUAGUACGAAAGUACUAUGGAGGACCGAACCCACAAGCCGUUCAAUACUUGGGGAUGAGCUGUGGCUGGCGGAGAAAUUCCAAUCGAACUCGGCAAUAGCUGGUUCUCCUCGAAAUAGCUUUAGGGCUAGCGUCGGAUGCUGACUACUGGGGGUAGAGCACUGAAUGAGACAGGGGCCGCAAGGUACCCUUCUUAACCAAACUCCGAAUACCAGUAGGUGAAGUCCGGCAGUCAGACUAUGGGGGCUAAGCUUCAUCAGUCAAAAGGGAAACAGCCCAGACCGCAAUCUAAGGUCCCAAAAUAUAUGCUAAGUGUAAAAGGUGGUGUCGCGACUGCGACAACUAGGAGGUUGGCUUAGAAGCAGCCAUCCUUUAAAGAUAGCGUAAUAGCUCACUAGUCUAGUUGUCUCGCGCCGAAAAUGUACCGGGGCUAAGCAUAUUACCGAAGAUGCGGGCCAGCUGGCGGUAGAGGAGCAUUCUAUACGCGCAGAAGCCGAAUUGUGAAGUUUGGUGGAGCUUAUAGAAGAGAGAAUGUUGGCAUGAGUAGCAAAAAGGCGGGUGAGAACCCCGCCCACCGUAAGUCUCAGGGUUCCUGGGCAACGUAAAUCGUCCCAGGGUUAGUCGGUCCUAAGGCGAGGCCUCUGUAGUGGGGGCGUAGUCGAUGGAUUAGCUGGUCAAUAUUCCAGCACUGCUGCAGUUUUCCGAUGGGGAGACGCAGUUCUAGAGUUUAUACGUGCUAUGGUAUGUACGUUGUUUGUUUUAAAGCGCGAUCCAGGCAAAUCCGGAUCAACAGCGCGGAGAAAUCGACUAAAGAUGAAGCCUCGGCGGAUUCAAAUAAGCAAAAGAGCUGCCUAGAAAAACCUCUAGGGCUAAGGCUGCAGCAACCGUACCGCAAACCAACACAGGUAGACGAGGCGAGUAGCCUCAGGUGAACGAGAGAAUCUUCGUUAAGGAACUCGGCAAAACAGCGGCCGUAAUUUAGAGAUAAGGCCUGCCCAUAGCAAUAUGGGCCGCAGCUAAAGAAGCCCGAGCGACUGUUUAUCAAAAACACAGCUCCCUGCUAACUCGUAAGAGGAUGUAUAGGGGGUGACGCCUGGCCAGUGUCCGAACGUUAAGGGGAGAGGUUAGACCUUCGGGUUGAAGCUUUGAACUGAAGCGCGGAUGAACGCCGGCCGUAACUAUAACGGUCCUAAGGUAGCGAAAUUCCUUGUCAGGUAAGUUCUGACCUGCACGAAUGGCGUAACGACUUGGGUACUGUCUCAACGAAGAACUCGGCGAAAUUGCAAGACGAGUAAAGAUGCUCGUUAACCAUAGCUGGACGAAAAGACCCCGUGAAGCUUUACUAUAGCUUAAUAUUGGGUUAUGACUAUGCAUGUUCAGAAUAGGUGGGAGCCGCAAGGCAACAGUGAGAUACCACCCUUGUAUAUUUGUAACCCUAACCCUCAGGCCUUGAAUCAGGUCAGGGGACAGUAUUUGGUGGGUAGUUUGUCUGGGGCGGAUGCCUCCCAAAGAGUAACGGAGGCGUUUACAAAGGUUGGCUAUCCCGGAAUGGAAACCCGGGAGAUAGUGUAAAACCAGCAAGUCGAGCAGUUGCGAAAGCAGAACUUAGUGAUCCGACCGUUCGAUAUAGGACGGCGGAAGCUCAUCGGAUAAAAGCUACUCCGGGGAUAACAGGCUAGUCACGCCCAAGCGUCCACAGCGACGGCGUGGUUCGGCACCUCGAUGUCGGCUCGUCGCAUCCUGGGGGUGAAGAAGCUCCCAAGGGUUGGGCUGUUCGCCCAUUAAAGCGGCACGCGAUCCACUAUGGUCGUGGAAACUUGAGAAGGCUCUUCCCUAGUACGAGAGGACCGGGAAGGACGAAGCUCUAGUGUGCCGGCUGUCCCACCAGGGGCAUUGCCGGGUAGCUACCUUCGGUUUGGAUAAGCGCUGAAGGCAUAUAAGCGCGAAGCCGUCUUCAAGAUUAGGUUUCAUAGAGUCGUCGGAGAACACGACGUUAAUAGGCUCUAGGUGUAAGUGCAGUAAUGCAUUCAGCCGAGGAGUACUAAUCACUCAAAUGAUUU
rnacentral:rRNA from 1 species